GGCAUGCCCAGAAGGGAGCAGGCAGGGAUGUGGCCGAGAGCUUCAAACGCCAGGCUGGCUCGGGGGACACAGGUCCAGGACACUGGGGAUGCCCCCUGUUUGGACUUUCCAAAGCCCUCCCAUGGAGGCGGCUACAUUUGAGCCACGAGACUUGAAUAAAACAGAAGUGGAUGCAGAGAGCCCCACUGGGGAGCUGGUGCCGGGCGCUGGACGGGCGCUCGUAGGAUGGACGGACAUGCCACAUUUCCUAAGGUGGAGAGGGUGGCCAGGAGACCGCUGGGCCGUCAUGCCACGGCGCAAGGAGUCACCACAGCCGUCACCCAACAAGGGCUCAUGGCCACCACCUGCGUGCUCACGGCCACCACCUGCGUGCUCGUGACACUCUGGAUCCCGAAGCUAGAGCAGACAGUGCCCUGCCGGCGCCCUGAGCAGUCGGGGACUUCAUGUGGUUCCCUUUGGGCAGAACAGGAGGCUGUCCCUUUACUUCAGAGGCCUGGACAGAGGCUCACUGCAGGAAGAUCCUUCUCGGUGCUCUGCAGAUAUCGACGACUCAUUGCAUCCUCACCGAGACCCUCUGCGGCUGAUGCUGCCAUCAGCCCAUUUUACUAGGACGGACCAGGCUCGGAGAGAUGAAGUCAUCUACCCAAGGUCACACCGCGAGUGUGCUGCGGGCCGGGAUCGGAACCACGACCUGGUGUUGCCCCCACAGGGCCAGGACUCGGCAGGACUCCAAAGUCUCCGCUUGUCAUCAACACGCUUGCCUCCUUUUAGGCCUCAAGGUACUUGCAAAGAGGCAGCAGGUCUGGGAUUCAAACCUGAGGCCGAACGGAGGCUGCAGGGGCAGGAGGCCCCGUGCCUGAGGAACACCCUGGGAGCUGGUGGUGUCCUCCCCUCCGUUCUCCAGGCCCCACCCCGGGUUGUGCGGGGGCAGCUGUGCAGGAGAUGGGACCUUUCCGGGCCCCACCCCGGAUUGUGCGGGGGCAGCUGUGCAGGUGAUGGGACCUCACGGGUGUCUGUUGAAUCCUGUGUGAGUGCUCCUGGCUGUGUGGCCUAGGGAGAGCCUCUUCCCCUCUCUGAGCCUCACUUUCCUUCCUCUGUACAUGUGGAGGAAGCCAGGUGACAGGAAGAUGACGCGGAGUUCCCCACGCCCUGCCUUGGCAAGCAAGGAAACCAGGCCAAGGCUCAUGGAGCAACGUGUGGCCGGGACCUGCUCCUGGCGCUGCCCCUGGCACAGACUCUACCCGAGAAAGCAGAAAGUGACAAGGACCCUCAGAGAAGAUGAGGGGGUCUCUGUGCUUGACUGGGCCCCCCAGGAUGCAGCUCGCCCAGGGUAGCCUUCAAAGGAAGGCCCCCAGAGGAAAUGCCUCUUUGGGUUCCCCCAGCCCCCGCUUAGGGGCUGGAGGAGAGCAAAGAUGGAAGUGGGACCCACUUCGAGGCUCGGAGGCCCCGUGGGCUACCAGCCCACGGCUGCGAACCACACAGGAAGAGGCCUGGCCGCAUCCCCUCGUCCCCAAGACCACUUGCUGACCCUGCUCCCCGCUCCAGCCGCAAGACGGCCCCGUCCAGACACACGGAGAGCUCGAAGUGCCCAUGAAAGAGAAACGAGGCCUCCAGCAUCCCUGAACUCUACAUCAGCUGCAAGGGGACCCCGGUCCCCGAGGACACCCACAUGUAUUUUCAAACAGCUCCCGAGGCCCAGCGCUGCCCGUGCAGAAGAAAGCAUGGAAUUUGGGGAGGGCUCCCGAGGCCUGGCCGCCCAGCACAAGGGGGUCCCUGGGGCACCUGCUGUCCCCACCCUGGCUAUCCUCCUGUGGCCUACACAAGUAUCCUAACCCCUCCCUGGCUCAGAACAGCACUGAGGUCCUCCUGCUGGGGUGGGUGGGGUCAGUCUGGGUCCCAGUCCCUUCCCUAUGGCCCUGGCUCAGAGGCAGGUGGGCAGCGGGUGCGGAAUCUGACGAGAAGGGCUCUGACGCCCGGAGGGGAGGAAUCUCAUACAGAGGACCAACUCUGUCCUCACGGAUUCUUCCGCGGCCCUGAGAUCCUGCGCUUCUCUAUCUUACGAGUGGGGAAACAGAGGCACAGAGAGGCUGAGGAGGGGGAGAGCCAGGUGUGGAUCCAGGUGACCUGGCCCAGCUACCCCUUCCCCACUGGCCACAGAGGGCACCUGCAGCCUGGGAACCCCGAGGGGAGGCACCUGCCCUCCUGGCCUCCCUCUGUGGCUUGGGCCUCUGCCAAGUGUCCUUCUCACUCCCCCUGCCCAUGACUGACGGUGGCAUCUUCUAAUUGUCCCCUCACCCCAGAGCAGGGGCUUUGCCUGUCCUUCCCACCCUCGAUGGCUCAGGCACUGGCUCUGGACACAGUGCGCCCCUCUCUGGGCAUGCCUGAGUCUGCCCUGAUGUUGGGUUUCCCUCUAUGCGGUUUUCCCCAAAGGGUCUGGGCAUGCAGGAACUGGUCAGAUGUCUAAAGGAAGAGGACAGGGAGAGAGUGCCAGUUCCUCCCCCAGCCCUGGCUGCAGCCUCAUCUGCCUCCCAAGCUCCCACUCAUCAAGAAAGUUCCCAGACCUGCCAGACGUGGUGACUCACACCUGUCAUCCCAGCACUUUGGGAGGCCAAGGUAGGCAAACCACUUGAGGUCAGGAGUUCAGGAUCAGCCUGGCCAACAUGGUGAAACCCCGUCUCUACUAAAAAUGCAAAAAUUAGCCGAGCGUAGUGGUGCGUGCCUAUAAUCCCAGCUACUUAGGAGGCUGAGGCCGGAGAAU